rnacentral:rRNA from 1 species
CUGAUGUUAGCGGCGGACGGGUGAGUAACACGUGGGUAACCUGCCUGUAAGACUGGGAUAACUCCGGGAAACCGGGGCUAAUACCGGAUGGUUGUUUGAACCGCAUGGUUCAAACAUAAAAAGGUGGCUUCGGCUACCACUUACAGAUGGACCCCGGCGCAUUAGCUAGUUGGUGAGGUAACGGCUCACCAAGGCAACGAUGCGUAGCCGACCUGAGAGGGUGAUCGGCCACACUGGGACUGAGACACGCCCCAGACUCCUACGGGAGGCAGCAGUAGGGAAUCUUCCGCAAUGGACGAAAGUCUGACGGAGCAACGCCGCGUAGUGAUGAAGGUUUUCGGAUCGUAAAGCUCUGUUGUUAGGGAAGAACAAGUACCGUUCGAAUAGGGCGGUACCUUGACGGUACCUAACCAGAAAGCCACGGCUAACUACGUGCCAGCAGCCGCGGUAAUACGUAGGUGGCAAGCGUUGUCCGGAAUUAUUGGGCGUAAAGGGCUCGCAGGCGGUUUCUUAAGUCUGAUGUGAAAGCCCCCGGCUCAACCGGGGAGGGUCAUUGGAAACUGGGGAACUUGAGUGCAGAAGAGGAGAGUGGAAUUCCACGUGUAGCGGUGAAAUGCGUAGAGAUGUGGAGGAACACCAGUGGCGAAGGCGACUCUCUGGUCUGUAACUGACGCUGAGGAGCGAAAGCGUGGGGAGCGA